CAUACUGUAACUGAAGCUCAGUUAUAUAAUUGAGCAGUAUUGCUGAAUGUCUUAGCGGACCAGAGCCUCUUGCCAGACCUGAUGGGUCAGGUACUGGUACAUGUAACUAGGUAGAGGCAGUCCCUCAAAUAACCCUGUCAUGUAGGCAUGUCUCUCUCCACUACCUUACAAAGGCUGAACAAUGGCUGAAACUCAUAAUCUCAUUCAAGGGGGUAAUAAGUAUGGGUAAAGUAAGUGAAUGAAUAGAUGGAAGGGAAAGGUGAUUCUGAAGUUUGUAACAGCCUAAUUGAAAACCAAGGUGAAAUAUUAACUCUGAACUUCCCAGCCAGCCUGAGCAUGGAAUGGAGGAAAGGAAUGCUGGCCCCCUACAUUCAAAAGUGUUCUGCCUUCAAAGAUAUUGAGAAAGCAAAAGAAAGAGACACAACAGGAAUGGUCUCUGAAGCCUUGACUUUUUCUCUGGUGUAUAAAAUGGUUACCAUGGUUCUAAAGUAGCUGAUAUAAUCCUGAAAAGUAAAAACUACUGGAUCAGUUAUUUGCAUUUGAGCAGCACCAUAUUAAGUUUGAUGAUCAUGAUCAUCAUAUGGAGCACUAUCUGAAAAUUAUCAGCAUUGACAAAGUCAACACUAAACUAAGAAAAACCAAGAACCCUUGUUGAAGACAGUGAAUCAAGGAACUCUCUUGAGAAUAACAAAGAUAAUGGCUGAAUAUAGAAAAGAAACAAUUGAAAUGAUUUGUUAAAUGGAAGAACAAGUCAAUGCAUGGCCAACACUUGAAGGAUAUAGAAGAAAAAUCUGAUAAAAAAUACAUGUUCAUUAAGAUCAGGAAUGUUAAAGAAAGAAACUGAAGGCUUUAUUUUAGCAGCUUAAGAACAAGCUUUGUCAACUGAUUGGAAGAAGGCAAAAAAAUCAACAUGUAACAACAGAUAAAAUAUAUGAAAUAGAUAGAAAUUCCAAAUGCAGUCUUAAUCAUCUGGCUCAACCAUAAAUACUAGUAUAAAUCAAAAGUACAUUGUAUAGCUAUUCCAUUUUUCUCCCUAACAGAUUGUAUUAAUAAAAAUAAAUAUUGGAGGAUUACAAAUGGAAAAGAA